GAUGCCUGGAUUGCAUUUGAGAAAGAAUUUCCUCCAUCUGAGCCAUUCACAUCUGGUGAUGGUUUUGAUCUAUAUAUAGAUGGUGCUAGACAUUUACCAGAUUGUGUUACUAUCACUAGGGUUGCUGGCAGAGUCUUUGAUAAAAAAUAUGACAAGAUUGGUAAAGACAUCAACACCAAUGUUUUCUUAGACAGCGAUAUAUUCAAUCCAGUUUAUAACUUUCGUCAAGAAUAUCGAGAUUUAGCGAUUCCACCAACAGCUACGUUACUUAUCAAGGUGUAUACAAUAGACCGAUAUACUAAAAGACUGACUGUGGUAGGUUUCGCUUCACUGAAUAUCUUUGUGGUGUCUGGCACCGAAAAACAACCACCUGCAGAUACAGGAGCUGUACAAAUAUCACUGAAUGAGGGCGCUCAUCAGCUUAGACUAUUCCAGCUAGGUCCAGAUGCUAAUAAACCCUUGACUAAUCAGACAUUGAAAGAUACAAAGAAGUAAGUG